ensembl:lncRNA
GCAAUGGUGGAUAAAAUUGAUAUGACUCAUAAUAGGAAGUGUGUAAAACAAUUUUAAAAAUAAAGUUUCUUUUUUAUUCUCUUUUUCUCUUAGGAGAUAACUCAGAUGGGUUUUGCAAUAUUCAAGAUGUUUUAAAACCUAACUAGACAGCAUUUUAAUGGAGAAUCAUAACAUUUUUCACAAAUGUGUAAUGAGCUCAGUGAAAAAUUCAUCAGAGAUGUUGGAGUCAACAGAGUUGGGCUAAAGGCCCUAAAGGCUCAAAACGCAGGAUCAAGGGUGGUCGCAAUUCAUCAUGGUCACCGACCGCCUGCGCUGACAGAGGAGUGACAGGACAGACAGCUUUGAUCAUUCACAGAGCACCUGCACUAUGGAGUUUACACUGGGAAUCCAUUGAUUUCUGUGGAACUGUUUCAUUUCAAGGAUAUAUAACCAGAACACUUAUUUUGAAUGUCCACUUACAUAACAGUCAGAGUAUUAGUAGACUCUUUGCUUAAUAUCUGCUGACAUUCUACUGACUGUAAGUAAUUUUGGAAGUAUGUCAACUUAUUCUACUAACCCUAAUCCUAACCUAAAACUGAAUUACUAAUACAGGUAACAAUUGCCAUAGUAACACGUUAGUUUAGGGACCAAUUUUCACUAUUAACUAGUUGCUUAUUAGCAUGCAUAUUACUAUUGGCCGUUUAUUAGUAUUUAUAAAGCACAUAUUAUGCAUGACCAUAUUCUACAUCCCUAAUCCUACCCAAUACCUAAACUUAACAACUACCUUACUUACUAUUUAUAAGCAGUAGUUAGGAGUUUAUUGAGGCGACCAUUUUCAUCUAAUGAUUUUUAAGAUAU